GAUGAAGAACGUAGCGAAAUGCGAUAAGUAGUGUGAAUUGCAGAAUUCAGUGAAUCAUCGAAUCUUUGAACGCACAUUGCGCCCCUUGGUAUCCCGAGGGGCAUGCCUGUUCGAGCGUCAUUUCACCACUCAAGCCUGGCUUGGUGUUGGGCGACGUCCCCUUUGGGGACGCGCCUCGAAACGCUCGGCGGCGUGGCACCGGCUUUAAGCGUAGCAGAAUCUUUCGCUUUGGAAGUCGGGGCCCCGUCUGCCGGAAGACCUACUCGCAAGGUUGACCUCGGAUCAGGCAGGGAUACCCGCUGAACUUAAGCAUAUCAAUAAGCGGACGA
rnacentral:misc_RNA from 1 species